rnacentral:rRNA from 1 species
GACUAUUACAUAUCUUGGCUCUCGCAUCGAUGAACAAUGUAGUAAAAUGCGAUACUUGGUAUAAAUUGCAAAAUCGUGUGAACCAUCGAGUUUUUGAACGCAAGUUGGGCUCGAAGCCAUUAUGUUGAGGGCAUGUCUGCCUGGACAUUA